rnacentral:siRNA from 1 species
UCAAAAUUUUCAGUUGUGCUUUU